AUGUCCCUCCUCCACGUCCGGCUCGCCGCCGCGGCGAUCGCCGUCGUCGCGCUCGUGGCCGGCGGGGACGCCUACCAGCUCACCAAACCAGGCACCGUCAUCUCGUACGACCGCCGCUCGCUCAUGGUGGACGGACAGAGGGACAUCUUCUUCUCCGGCUCCAUCCACUAUCCACGCAGCCCUUUCCACGAGUGGCCCGACCUCAUCGCCAGGGCCAAGGAAGGCGGCCUCAACGUCAUCGAGUCCUACGUCUUCUGGAACGUCCAUGAACCCGAGAUGGGCGUGUACAACUUCGAGGGGAGGUACGACAUGAUCAAGUUCUUCAAGCUGAUCCAGGAGCAUGAGAUGUACGCCAUGGUCCGUAUCGGGCCCUUUGUCCAGGCGGAGUGGAACCAUGGAGGGCUGCCUUACUGGCUCCGGGAGGUCCCCGACAUCAUAUUCCGCACAGACAAUGAGCCUUUCAAGAAGCUCAUGCAGAAGUUUGUCACUCUCGUAGUGAACAAGCUCAAGGAGGCCAAGCUCUUCGCAUCACAAGGAGGCCCUAUCAUUCUAGCGCAGAUCGAGAAUGAGUACCAGCACAUGGAAGCGGCGUUCAAAGAAAACGGCACCAGGUACAUCGAAUGGGCAGCUAAGAUGGCCAUCAGCACCGACAUCGGGGUGCCAUGGAUCAUGUGCAAGCAGACUAAAGCUCCAGCGGACGUGAUUCCUACCUGCAACGGUAGGCACUGCGGAGAUACAUGGCCAGGUCCAGUUGACAAGAACAAACCCCUGUUAUGGACCGAGAACUGGACUGCUCAAUACAGAGUAUUCGGUGAUCCUCCGUCUCAGAGAUCUGCCGAGGACAUUGCGUUUGCCGUGGCGCGGUUCUUCUCGGUGGGGGGCAGCAUGGUGAACUACUACAUGUACCACGGAGGAACAAACUUUGGAAGAACGGGUGCCUCUUUCGUGAUGCCGAGAUACUACGACGAGGCGCCUCUCGACGAAUUCGGUAAAGCAGAGACAGAUGAAUCCUCUCAAACUCUGAAUAUGCUUAACUAUGUUGAUUCAUGGAUGAACGUUUUGGUUGGUCCAGGAAUGUUCAAAGAGCCCAAGUGGGGCCAUCUGAAGGACCUGCACCAUGCUUUGAGGUUGUGCAAGAACGCUCUCCUCUUUGGGACCCCCUCCACGCAGCCAUUGGGCAAGCUCUACGAGGCGCGGGUGUUCGAGAUCCCGGAGCAGAAGGUGUGCGUGGCGUUCCUGUCCAACCACAACACCAAGGAGGACGGGACGGUGACGUUCCGCGGGCAGAAGUACUUCGUGCCCCGGCGGUCUGUCAGCAUCCUGGGCGACUGCAAGACGGUGGUGUUCAGCACGCAAUACGUGAACGCGCAGCACAACCAGCGCACCUUCCACUUCACGGACCAGACGGUGCCCACCUACAAGUUCAGCACCGACCGGAGCGAGAAGCCCCUCGAGGCCUACAACAUGACCAAGGACAAGACCGACUACCUCUGGUACACAACCAGCUUCCUGCUGGACCCUGAGGACCUGCCGUCCAGGCUAGACAUCAAGCCGGUGCUGGAGGCGAGCAGCCAUGGGCACGCCAUGGUGGCGUUCGUCAACAAGAAGUUAGUCGGCUGCGGCCAUGGCACAAAGAUGAACAAGGCCUUCAGCCUGGAGAAGCCCAUCGAUGUCAAGGUCGGCAUCAACCACAUCUCCAUCCUGUCCAGCACGCUGGGGUUGCAGGACAGCGGGUCCUACCUGGAGCGCCGGCAGGCCGGCGUGCACUCGGUCACCAUCCAGGGCCUCAACACGGGGACGCUGGACCUCACCAGCAACGGGUGGGGUCACAUCGUGGGCCUGGACGGCGAGCGCAAGCAGGCUUUCACGGAAAAGGGCGGCGAGGUGCAGUGGCAACCCGCGGUGUUCGACAAGCCGCUCACGUGGUACCGGCGGCGCUUCGACAUGCCCAGCGGGGAGGACCCCGUGGUGAUCGACAUGAACCCGAUGGGCAAGGGCAUCCUGUUCGUCAACGGCGAAGGGCUGGGGCGAUACUGGAGCUCGUACAAGCACGCGCUGGGGCGGCCGUCGCAGUACCUGUACCACGUGCCGCGGUGCUUCCUGAAGCCGACGGGGAACGUGCUGACCAUCUUCGAGGAGGAAGGCGGGCGGCCGGACGCCAUCAUGAUCCUGACGGUGAAGCGCGACAACAUCUGCAGCUUCAUCUCGGAGACCAACCCCGGGCACGUACGGUCGUGGGAGACCAAGGACAGCCAGCUGACGAUGGUGGCGGACGACCUGAAGCCGCGGGCGGUGCUGACGUGCCCGGAGAAGAAGAUGAUCCAGCAGGUGGUGUUCGCCAGCUACGGGAACCCGCUGGGGAUCUGCGGCAACUACACGUUUGGCAACUGCCACACGCCCAAGGCCAAGGAGAUUGUGGAGAAGGCGUGCGUGGGGAAGAGGAGCUGCGUGCUGGCCGUGUCGCACGAGGUGUACGGCGGGGACCUCAACUGCCCGGGCACCACGGCCACGCUGGCCGUGCAGGCAAAGUGCUCCAAGAGGCAGAGGACCGCCGAGCAAUAA
rnacentral:rRNA from 1 species